AUGGAGCUUCCCACACCCUCUGACUGGAAGAAUUUAAGGAAUGCGAAUGUUCAUGGAGUUUCCUCUCGAAGGCCCCACUCUUGGAGGCGCACCCACCUGGUGUGGGUCUCCCAGGUCACCGUUCUGGGAGACGCAGGACACCAGGUUGUGAGGACACCAAGCAGCCCCAUGGAAGGCUCCACCGGCCCUGCCCGCUGAUCACCAGCACCACCUCAUCAGCCAGGUGAGCGAACAUUCUAGGCAGUGGGGUCCCCCACCCCAGGUCAGCCUUGGCCACAGCCCCAGCCUCUGUCU
rnacentral:lncRNA from 1 species